CCCUAUGGGGUGCAGCAGGCCGAUGAUCAGCGCUCCGGCCACGCCGCGAACGGAGUAGAUUCCCAUGCGCACCAGCAGGUACGGCAUCGUCUUGAGCAGAAUGUCCAGAGUUUCCCUGUAAUAAAAAUUCAUCCGUUACCUCCUUUGGCUGUCUCGACGGACCCUCCCAAACCUUUUUCGCCGGCCGGGCCGACAAUCCGAACGUCCGGCCCCGCCGGAAUUGGCGCACUCGGCUCGGCGCUCCCUUCCGCAAUCGCCUCGGGCAUUGAACCCACGACCGUCCCUUCCGGCCAACCGGUUCCGCAGGGUAACGGCGGAGCGGUCCAUCUCUUUUAUCGGCUUUUGCGGCGGAGAGGAUGACACGGCCGGAGUGUACCAAAGGCGGUUCUUCAACGGAAAGGUUUUGAGGGGGAGC
rnacentral:rRNA from 1 species